rnacentral:rRNA from 1 species
AUUGAACGCUGGCGGCAUGCCUUACACAUGCAAGUCGAACGGUAACAGGUUAAGCUGACGAGUGGCGAACGGGUGAGUAAUGUAUCGGAACGUGCCCAGUUGUGGGGGAUAACUACUCGAAAGAGUGGCUAAUACCGCAUACGACCUGAGGGUGAAAGCGGGGGACCGUAAGGCCUCGCGCGAUUGGAGCGGCCGAUAUCAGAUUAGCUAGUUGGUGGGGUAAAAGCCCACCAAGGCGACGAUCUGUAGCUGGUCUGAGAGGACGACCAGCCACACUGGGACUGAGACACGGCCCAGACUCCUACGGGAGGCAGCAGUGGGGAAUUUUGGACAAUGGGCGCAAGCCUGAUCCAGCAAUGCCGCGUGCAGGAAGAAGGCCUUCGGGUUGUAAACUGCUUUUGUACGGAACGAAAAGGCUCUGGAUAAUACCUGGGGCUCAUGACGGUACCGUAAGAAUAAGCACCGGCUAACUACGUGCCAGCCGCCGCGGUAACAC